rnacentral:piRNA from 1 species
UCCAGCCAAAUGUGUCCUACAAGGAGA